rnacentral:rRNA from 1 species
ACUCCUACGGGAGGCAGCAGUAGGGAAUCUUCCACAAUGGACGAAAGUACUGAUGGAGCAACGCCGCGUGAGUGAAGAAGGGUUUCGGCUCGUAAAAACCUCUGUUGUUAAAGAAGAACAUAUCUGAGAGUAACUGUUCAGGUAUUAACGGUAUUUAACCAGAAAGCCACGGCUAACUACGUGCCAGCAGCCGCGGUAAUACGUAGGUGGCAAGCGUUGUCCGGAUUUAUUGGGGCGUAAAGCGAGCGCAGGCGGUUUUUAAAGUCUGAUGUGAAAGCCUUCGGCUCAACCGAAGAAGUGCAUCGGAAACUGGGAAACUUGAGUGCAGAAGAGGACAGUGGAACUCCAUGUGUAGCGGUGAAAUGCGUAGAUAUAUGGAAGAACACAGUGGCGAAGGACGGCGUGUCGUGGUCGUCGUAACG